ACGGCUCAGUAACACGUCGAUAAUCUGCCCUAUGGUCUGGGAUAACCUCGGGAAACUGAGGGUAAUACCGGAUAGAAGAUUGAUACUGGAAGGUUCUUUCUUUGAAAGGUCACGCCAUAGGAUGAGUCGGCGGCCGAUUAGGCUGUUGGUGAGGUAACGGCUCACCAAACCGAAGAUCUGUAGGGGGUAUGAGAGUACUGUCCUCGAGAAGGGCACUGAGACAAGGGCCCUAGCCCUAAGGGGUGCAGCAGUUACGAAGACUUUACAAUGCGCGAAAGCGUGAUAGGGGAAUUCCGAGUGCUUACUUUACAGUAGGCUUUUGUUAAGUGUAAGGAGCUUGACGAAUAAGUGGUGGGUAAUACUGGUGCCAGCCGCCGCGGUAACACCAGAGCCACAAGUGGGGGCCAUUUUUAUUGGGUCUAAAGCGUCCGUAGCCGGUUUAGAUAGUCCUUUGUGAAAUUGUUAGGCUUAACCUAGCAGCGUGCAAGGGAAACUACUUUACUUGGGACCGGGAGACGAUAAGAGUAUGCCAUGGGGAGCGGUAAAAUGUUUUAAUCCUUGGUAGACUUCCGAUAGCGAAGGCACUUAUCGAGAACGGGUCCGACGGUCAGGGACGAAGGCUGGGGGAGCAAAACGGAUUAAAUACCCGUGUAGUCCCAGCAGUAAACGCUGCCCAUUAUGUGUUGCGUACCCCACGAGGGUAUGCAGUGCCGUAGCGAAGCGUUAAAUGGGCCACCUGGGUAGUACGAUCGCAAGAUUGAAACUUUAAGGAAUUGGCGGGGGAGCAC
rnacentral:rRNA from 1 species